rnacentral:rRNA from 1 species
GAUGAACGCUGGCGGCGUGCCUAAUACAUGCAAGUCGAACGAACGGACGAGAAGCUUGCUUCUCCGAUGUUAGCGGCGGACGGGUGAGUAACACGUGGAUAACCUACCUAUAAGACUGGGAUAACUUCGGGAAACCGGAGCUAAUACCGGAUAAUAUUUUGAACCGCAUGGUUCAAAAGUGAAAGACGGUCUUGCUGUCACUUAUAGAUGGAUCCGCGCUGCAUUAGCUAGUUGGUAAGGUAACGGCUUACCAAGGCAACGAUGCAUAGCCGACCUGAGAGGGUGAUCGGCCACACUGGAACUGAGACACGGUCCAGACUCCUACGAGAGGCAGCAGUAGGGAGUCUUCCGCAAUGGGCGAAAGCCUGACGGAGCAACGCCGCGUGAGUGAUGAAGGUCUUCGGAUCGUAAAACUCUGUUAUUAGGGAAGAACAUAUGUGUAAGUAACUGUGCACAUCUUGACGGUACCUAAUCAGAAAGCCACGGCUAACUACGUGCCAGCAGCCGCGGUAAUACGUAGGUGGCAAGCGUUAUCCGGAAUUAUUGGGCGUAAAGCGCGCGUAGGCGGUUUUUUAAGUCUGAUGUGAAAGCCCACGGCUCAACCGUGGAGGGUCAUUGGAAACUGGAAAACUUGAGUGCAGAAGAGGAAAGUGGAAUUCCAUGUGUAGCGGUGAAAUGCGCAGAGAUAUGGAGGAACACCAGUGGCGAAGGCGACUUUCUGGUCUGUAACUGACGCUGAUGUGCGAAAGCGUGGGGAUCAAACAGGAUUAGAUACCCUGGUAGUCCACGCCGUAAACGAUGAGUGCUAAGUGUUAGGGGGUUUCCGCCCCUUAGUGCUGCAGCUAACGCAUUAAGCACUCCGCCUGGGGAGUACGACCGCAAGGUUGAAACUCAAAGGAAUUGACGGGGACCCGCACAAGCGGUGGAGCAUGUGGUUUAAUUCGAAGCAACGCGAAGAACCUUACCAAAUCUUGACAUCCUUUGACAACUCUAGAGAUAGAGCCUUCCCCUUCGGGGGACAAAGUGACAGGUGGUGCAUGGUUGUCGUCAGCUCGUGUCGUGAGAUGUUGGGUUAAGUCCCGCAACGAGCGCAACCCUUAAGCUUAGUUGCCAUCAUUAAGUUGGGCACUCUAAGUUGACUGCCGGUGACAAACCGGAGGAAGGUGGGGAUGACGUCAAAUCAUCAUGCCCCUUAUGAUUUGGGCUACACACGUGCUACAAUGGACAAUACAAAGGGCAGCGAAACCGCGAGGUCAAGCAAAUCCCAUAAAGUUGUUCUCAGUUCGGAUUGUAGUCUGCAACUCGACUACAUGAAGCUGGAAUCGCUAGUAAUCGUAGAUCAGCAUGCUACGGUGAAUACGUUCCCGGGUCU